GACGAACCGAGCGAACGUUGUUCGGAAUCACUGGGCUUAAAGGGCGCGUAGGCGGAUUCUCAAGUCCGGGGUGAAAUCCUCCAGCUCAACUGGAGAACUGCCUUGGAUACUGGGUGUCUCGAGGGUGGUAGGGGUAUGCGGAACUAUCGGUGGAGCGGUGAAAUGCGUUGAUAUCGAUAGGAACUCCGGUGGCGAAGGCGGCAUACUGGACCACAUCUGACGCUGAGGCGCGAAGGCCAGGGGAGCGAACGGG
rnacentral:rRNA from 1 species